rnacentral:piRNA from 1 species
UAGUCACAGUAUGGUAAUCUCCAGUA